AUUUAAAUCUCCAUUUAUGAUGUCACAAAGAAUUCUACAAUGUAAAAGGUAAGUUGGUGUUGCAUUCAUAACCUUUUCUCCGUAAAAUUCCUUUAAUUUUUGAAGAUGAAAUGUAAAAAGAAAUUAAUAACGAAAUCUAUUCUAAAAAACAGAAUGUCUUAUUUGACAUUGAAUUCCUUGGAAUAAGUUUUCUUCUAAAACAAACAUUCGAAGAAACUACAUCGAUCAGUCCACGUGGAUCUAUAAUGGAAUACAUUUGUUAUGUUCUGGAUGGUUCUCUAGAUAGCACUGCAUAACCAAAACACCACAUGGGAAUGUCGGAUCUCCGAUAGUACUGUAUAACUAUAUGGUAUUAUUUCCCCAGUAUGCUGUUUAUUAAAACAAUGACAGUUUUGUAGUAAACUUCCUUACACUUAUUUUUAUUUUCAACAAAACGUAUUUGUUUGUUCAUAUAAAUGAAAAUAUAGCCUGUACAUUAUGGGUUACAGUCAUAUAAUUUACCCGGACUCGGAAAUAAAACAAUCAAAAUACUGGAUUUGAUACUUCGAGCCGAAAUCUUGUACUACGAGGACCGAGUAACGUUUUCUAAUUUUCUAACCAAACGGAUAUAUGACUUUUGUGAAGAUUCUGCUUUACACUUGAGCAUUGGUGUUCUAAGACUGUUCUGCUAGUACUGGCGUUCAAAAUAUUCAGAAGUUAUUGCAUGAAAUAUCAGUUGGGUUUUCAUUUUCAUUAUUUUUGUAUGGUCACUUGUAUAUUUUCAUCUUAAUUGGUGCUGUUCAGCCUCGUUUGUCGUCUGCAAGAAGCUGGUGGUGUAGUAAAUUCUCAACAAUAUUUUGUUGGUGUGUAGUAUAUUUCCUUAUUUACUCCUUCUUCUCACAUUCAAUGAUACUCAUUUUCUCUUUAUAUAUGAUGUUUUAUGAAAUACAUUAUCUUAAGGCUGUAGUAAAGGAAUUUUAAAGAACCAUAGUUUGACAGCUAGUUUAGAGUUUUUGAUGGUUUCUGCAUGUGCAGCUACUUUUUCUUCUUCUUUCAAUUAUCACUAGGCAAUUGUUUCUUCAAUUUUCAGAUAAUUUAUCUUUCCCCAGAAUAUUCAAUUGUCGUAUUUGAUCCUCAUAAGUCAUUUCUAGGUAUACCAUUUGCAAUUUUGAAGAUCACAUAUACAUAUUUUUAUUUAUUAAUUGUUUCAUUCUAAAUAAUGAUACAAAUAAACAAAUAAACGCCCAAGAGUCUGCAACUCUGCUUAUGAACUCUCUUCCAAUAACUUGUCUUUUAACAUAGCUAUAACCUAUAAUGAGUUUGCCUCUGACGCGGUGAUUACGUUUAACUCUCCCUUUAGAACUUUCUUACCAGAGCUUAGCCACUGUUCUUUAUGUCUGUUAAAGCUGUAACUCUGUUGCCGGUACAUCUUUUCUUAUUACAGGUUUGUCUAUGUUUUGUUCGCUAAUGAAACAUCAAUUGGUGCAGCUUUGAUAUGGAACAUUUGCUUAUAGAUGUAUUCCUAUAUGAGUUUGUCUAUAUCAUAUCUGGAACUGUAAUUAUAAAGCUUUUUCUAGAGAUUAUCUUUAUUGUGUCUAUCAGUUUCAUAUCGGCAAUACUAUUUAUGGAACAUUUUUUUAAGAGCUUGUCCUUUGAUAUUUGUCAGCAACGUAUAUCUUCUUGUUUUAUUGGGGCUGUACAGUGUUGCUUAGAUUGUUUCAGACAUAUCUCUUGUCACAUAGAACUGUAUUAUAACAUUUUCUUCUUAUUGUUAACUCUAUGUCCAUUUAUUUAUAUAAAGCAAAUUAUUUACAGAGAGCAGACAUAAGUAUUGGUUGGGAAGACUUAUAUAUAUACUACACCUCAUAGUAUAUUUAUGGAACUGUGUGUCUACCCUCUUGGUCAAUACCACCACACGUUGUUACGGCCUCUUACGUUUCUUUUAAGGGUUAGUUUUUAAAACCUCCAAUGAUUGCAUUGCUUUAUACCACCACAUGUUAGACAGCCUCUUACGUUCCUUUUAAUGGUUAGAUUUUAAAACCCAUACUGAUUGAAUUGCUUUAUGGUUCUAGUCUUUAAAUUAUGUAGCAUUUUGUGUUUUUCCCUGUAAUAUGUUUUGGAUUUAAACAUUUGAAAACACAGGCAUUUUUUUUCCAAAUAUAGACAUAAUAUUCCAUCCAUGCUUCUGAUAUUAUAGUAACAAUCUAAUGGGGAUUUUUGAAUAAUAUCACUUGAACAUGAUAAAAAACAUAUAAAUUGUUCUGAAAAAAGAUUAUACUUAUGUGAAAAUCUAUAUAAUACUUAUUUUCUAUUAAAAGCCUAAACAUAUGUUGCCAAUGUUACGCCAUGCAUGUUGAUUUUCUACAUUCCGAUCAUUUUUGUUGACGGAUUUUAUCAAUUUUCCUGAUUUGUAUAUAACUAUGCAUAGAAACGCACGAGGAAAACUGGAAAAGUAACAGAUUGACACGUUCUUGAAUAAGAGUUGAAUCACUUAUCCACAAAAGCAGUAAGGACAAUAACGUCCACACGUGACCCAAAACUUGAAAAUUAUUAAGUUACAAUCGAUGUUCGAUCUUAUAUGAUUUGAUUAAGAUAAUUACAGAAAAUACAUAUUUUUUUUCACAUUUAACAAACUGCCAUGACCACAAUGAGUUGGGGUCUACUACAAGUAUUGCUGGUAUUUGGGUUCAUUUCAUUUCUGUGUUUUUACAAGGAAGUAUUUAACCAUGCCAACAUUAUUUUUGAAAAUAAACCAUAAAACCGGCAUUUAACAACAGUUCGUAAUGGUUCAAAGACGUCAAACUAAAAUUGUCCCAGACAUGCGUAGGAGGAUUUCAUAUUGACAAUGUUCUUUACAACUGAUCAUCGGUUUUUAUGAAUUUUAAAUGAGAAGUUUGAAAGAUUAUAUUUGCCCAUAUAGAAGUAUAACACGUUGUUAUACAUUAUCUUAUAUAUUGACGUAUAUUUUAUAACAUUUGACGUAAAGAAAUAUAUUUGCACAGUUUUAUUGUGAUAACGAAUCAAUGUUUAAUCAAUGUUUCAGUGAAAUGCAUUUGUUAUAUUUUCCUCGAGAAUUAGCAUAAAAAAUAAGAAGGGUCGGUUAAUAUUAUAUGGAAAAGUGCCAAAGUGACAUCAACCACAACACAUCAAGACAUCACAAGUUCAGGUUUAAACAUAUAACUAUGAGUGACCAUAUCCUACGACCUAAUAUGUACACAUUUGUUAUCCGUUGUGUCCAUGGUUAAAAGUAAAAUUUAAAAUCAUUGCCAUAUGCAUUUCCAUUCUUGAUCUUAGAAGGUUAUUCAAUAAGCUGUGAUUGAUAUGAAUACGACAAGUGUAUGAGUAGUACCUUUUUGGAUACACUUUUAAUGUUUCAGAGGGAAAUAACUGUUUUAAGAACAUGCAUAGGACACAGACACCCUGACUCUAAACCAUCACCAAAAAAAACCAAACUAAAAUCACUCAACACUCACUUAAAUUUGGUACCAGUCAAAUAUACUAAAACUAUCUUUGCAAACAAGAGUGAUAUUUGAUAUUGAUUUGAAAUGUUCGCAUCGGACUCAAAAUGAGAAACGUAGACAUAUUUUUUUAUAUAAGAAAUGACGAGAAUGUGAUGUGUUACUUCGCUCUAUUUACAUAUAUGAAUUUUCAGUUACAUGCAUCCUUCAUUGGGUUGCAACAAAUGAUGUUUACUAUAGGAAAUCAAAAUAAUUCAUAUUAUGUAUAAUUUUCCUUUUCAGAACACAAAUACAGAUAUGUAGAGAAAUUGAAAAGAAAUGCAUAAAUGUUUAAAGGUAAGUUUUCAAGAGGUAUUUGUAUAACAUUAUUACUUAUAUUAUACAUCAAACGAAUCAAUAGUAGAUAAUGCUGAAAUGAAAAUUGCAAUGGUUGUUGUAAACAUAUGGUUUUUUUUAAGUCGAAAAAGCAGUAACGAAUACUUAGAUUUGUAAGGUUUAGUACAGCAACGAAACAAGUUGCAACAAAAAGGGACAAGGAGGCGAUAACUUUUAAGCUGAACUUGAUCGGUAACUACAAGAUUGAAUCAUAUUUUGAAUAUGAGCUUCAAUCUAUGCAUCACAAUCACAAUCUCUGAUAUAUUUGUCUGACAUAAAUCUACUAUAGUGUAUCCCUCUGCAGGGACUUUCUAUACUUAGUAUAGAAAGUCCCUGCCCUCUGUUUUUUUUUAUGGAACAAUAAGGCAUUAUACCAAAGUAACUGUUAAAAUGUAAACUUCACUUUGGUCAUGUAAACAUUUGAAUUAUACAAGGGAAAAUUUGUGUGUCUACCGUAUAAUGUCUCUACUUGAAGACCUGUCCAAUAUAUUUAACUUCAUCGAAAAGUAGCCAACUGGCUCUUAAAUAACCAGUUUGGAAAUAUUGUUGUCCCCAAAAAGAACAAACGAUGCACCCGAUAUGUCUGCACAAUAUGCACACCUUGGUAAUAACACUAUUGUUCGAUUAAGAAGCAGCUUUGACUUCAGUUCUACUCUUUACUUUAUAAUCCUGGUACCUUUGAUUUAAAGAAAACACCAUUCUAAAUCUGAAAAAAAAAACGACAAUUUUAAUUCUCUCUAAAUCAUCAAAAUGGAGAAACUCGAACAAUCUUUCGAACUACCUGAUUAAAUGUCUGGUCAUUAUUUGCACCUUCACCUUAAGAUUACAAAGUAGCCUUUCCUGACCAUCAAGUUGGACUCCUUCGAUACGUUUAAUUAUUUAGUCUUGUCUUAGUAAAAAAAGAUGAUUUCAGUCAAUGCUACAUCAUCCCUAUACAUAUCAAUACUGGAAUUAUUCAGUGUAAUUAAGUACUAGGAAUUCAUUGAUUUUGGAACACUUUUUUGAUAGUAAAAGAAUACAAAUUCCAAAAGAGGGACGAAAGAUACCACGGGGACAGUCAAACUCAUAAAUCGAAAAUAAACUGAAAAAUGAAAAAGACAAACAGACAAACAAUAGUACACAAGACACAACAUAGAAAACUAAAGGAUAAACAACCCUUAUCGCAUCAAACACUAGGGGUGAUCUCAGGUGCUCCGGAAGGGUAAGCAGAUCCUGCUCCACAUAUGGCACCCGUCGUGUUGCUAUGUAAUAACAAAUCCUAACCUUCCUUAACGCGCAUCUGGCGUAUAUACUAAAUUUAGUCCUGGUAUCUAUGAUGAGUUUAUUUACAAACUAUAUAUUCAAAAAAGGCAUUCAGUACAUUGUUUGUGGCAUUCGUAUGAUUGUUCUUUUCUGUUCUGAUUUGAACAUUCAUCUUUAAACAUGAUCCCAGGACAGGUGUAUCGAUAGUUUUUUAUACCAUUGUUUCAAUAUUAACAACAUAUUGGUUUAUGAUCACUGAAAUCUGCAAAAAGAAAAGGUUUGGUAAGACCAUUAUGUGUCCCUUUAUAACGAUUACAUACAGUUAUGUAAAUCAUUUAAACAAAUGAAAUGUUCAGAUGAUAACAGUAGUGAUACACUAUAAUAAUUUUUCCUUCAUAUUUUUGCUUUAGGUUUUCAAUAUUUUUACAUUCAAUGAAACUAUUGAAAUUCAAUAAAUGUUUUAUUUUCAUGUCUUUCAAGCUUUUUGAAUUCAAGGAAAUUGUUAAAAUGCCAAAAACUAUUUUAAGUCUUAUAGUGAAAAUUUCAAAAUGUAGAAUAGGUUUCCCAAAGAUAUAUUGGUCUACAAGAAUACUCGAGAAUAUAUGAUGCUGAUGGGAAGCAAGAUAAUUUUUUCCAGUGAGCUUUUACCUUACUAUAGGGAAAAAUAAAAUUUGGAAAUUGAUUUCUUUUUAAAUUGUUCAAAAAUUUGUGAAGACACACACUAGUUGCUUUUCACCUAUAAUCAAUGAAGGCUUUAUUAAUUCAGAUUGAUAAACAUAUUCAAGAAAUAUUGACUAUCUUUGUUAGGGGUCACGUACUUGUUUAGGAAGAUUAAAAAGUCUGAAAUAAUUACAGAGCAACAGAAAAACCAUUAAUGAUUUAUAAAUUAAAGGUUUGAAAAAAAUCUUGUUUUUUUCCAUAAAAUAUUGUAAUGGAAUUCAUUGUUACUUAUAUUGAUCUCUCCCCGGGAUAACAAUGGUAACAUUUCUUCCAACCGGAAGUAACUAACUUAAUAUGUCCGUUGCCUGAUUGGUUUACGUAGUAAUCUCACGUGUAGUUUUAUAUUUAUGGAAUUUAUUCCGGAAAUAGUUCUUGAUUCAUAAGAUAGAGAUUUUCCAGAAUAAAUUAAGAAAUUAUGAAAGCUGCUAGUUCGAUUUUUUUUUCCUUUUCAUAUCAUUGUUUCAAUUAUUAAUAGGAACCCGUCACAUACUUCGACUCCUGGUAUUUAAAAGCAAGAAGAUUCUUAAUCAAAAACUAUAUCUUAUUCGACAACAAGAUGUACCAAAAGGAAGAAUGAUUCACUUAUCAAAUUAACUUUCAGAGUCAAAUUCCAGUAUUUCAACGCUGAUUUCCAAUAUACUCAUGGAUGUCAUUCGGUUUAACGCGAGAAAUGAUCGUGAAGAAUAUCUAACGACGGUCAAGUAUUGGGUGACGAUCGUGAAAGCUCUGGUACCAGAUCAUGAAAGACAUUUAAUGUUAAUGCUAGUUCAGAAUCUGUGAAAAAAUCGCUUAAUUUUCAAAACGCGGAACAAAUCCGAACAAAAAAUGUGUCUGUCAAAAUGAUCCAACUUUCUCAAAAUUACUGUGCAAUAAGAUAAAGAAAAUAUGCAGUACUUUAUGAAAAAACACAAAAGGCGCAAUGCAUGUCUACGGAAUUAAUUAAAAAGAACACGCAAAUUGUACCUAUAAUGAUCAUAUUUCAUAAUAUCAUGAUAUAUUUGGAAUUUAAUCUUUGAUGUAUCUGGUAGUACAGUAAAAUAAAAGUAUACUCUUCCCUUUAAAGCGUUUAUUUGUUUAUGAAAACCUUGAAUUUAGUUGAAUUUUCAUCAAACUUGAUCGUGAAAGAUCAUGCAACCCAUUAUUGUGAUUGUGAAAGAUAAUGCGUGACGAGACUUAAUACUAGUAAUUAGAAAUCAAUAUUUCUUUAACCGUUUGAUAUACCAGCAACUGGUUGAAUCCUGUAACUAUUUUGAUAAGGAUGAACAUUAAAGCUAUUUUUUUCAAUUCAACACUUUACUCGAAAGGUAAAAAACAACUUAAAACGUGUCAAAUCAAUGUGAAAAAUUCAGCUCUGAGAAUUGGUCUAGUAAAAUUCAGGAAGUCAACCACUAUUUAGCCAAUAUUAUGGGUAUGCAACUUUCAAACCAAAAUGUUAACCAUCAACCAAAAACCUAUAGCAAAACAGCAUCUUUCAUGAACUAUUCGAUAUUGAACGAUAACCAACAUUUUGUGCAACAGUACCUUAUUAAUUUCUAUGUAUCUUCAUAUACAACGUACAGUGUAGCAGAUGUGGAAUGAUUCCCAAUGAGAUAACUAUAUACUACAGACUUAAGAAUACUACAUCGUAAAUGCCGAAAUGUUUCGUCUGCUUUAUUCAUAAUAUUAUAUCUGUAAUAUUAAGGAUUUUUCUAGAAGUGUCAAAUACACUUAAUAUUGUCAUUGGUUCAUAAAAAGAGGGCAAAGUCAGAUUUACCAUGCCAUACAGAUCUCUACAAACAUCCUGUACACCAAAUAUAGGUGUUCCGAACUGACAAACGUAAAAGUUAUGUUUGGUCAAUUUAUCUGGAACAUAAGGUGGAAAAUAUAUGAACCCUGACGUCGCGACUUCUAUAAAAAAGAAUUUUGCAAUUGUACAGGAACUGCUUGGUUUCUUUAAACGGAUAUCGCAUUGAUAUUGUUGAGGGUGUACUCCAUAACCUCAAAAUGUCCGAAAACAAUAAUAUGCAAUUAUUUGAAAAGUCAAACUUCUUAUUUGCUAUAAGAUUGAACAACAUCAAAAGAUACCAUAGGAAUUCAAACCUUGCUAUUUCUUUAAUUGCAAUUGGCAAUAACUUCACAAUUUUAUUCAUUUCCACAUCAUCUUCACAAUAUUCUUGUGUUGUUUCUGCUGUUUAUUUGGCUCAUCUACACUGGAUUGCUUUUUUCGGCGUUUUGUUGACCAUUGUCUUUUCUUAUUGCCGAGGUUGUUAUUUCUUUUUAAUAUGAAAAUGCUUAAAUUAUUUGAGGAUCUUUGAUAAUCUAAUUUUUCUCAAGAUUAAUAACAAAUAUUAAUUAUCGUAUAAUUGAAGAAUAAUUUUAACGUCUUCGUAGCAUCAGAUCUUUCACGAUUCUUUUCACGAUCUUCAAAAAGCGGUACGUGAUCUUUCACGAAUCGAAAAAACAAUUUUGUGUAAAUAUUUCUCUUUUUACCAAGUUUAAGAUUAUGUUUAUACAAAAUAACUAUGAGAACCAUUUGAUUGAUUCAAAUAGAAUGCCCUUAUUCGGAUAAAGGUGGUUUAUUUUAUUCGAAUUUGUAAAAACUAAUGUUUGUUUACAUUUUUAUGUCAUUGAAAUGUCGAGAAGCAAUCUACCUUUUGUUGUUUUUUAAAAACUAUGUACUUUUAAAACUGGAUUUUCUCACAUACUGAUCAUAAUGUUGAACUAUUUUGACAGACAGUUUUAUUUUGUUAUAAAUUUGUCCGUGUUAUUAAAUAAAUAAGAUUAUUUACUGAUCUUUCAUAUGUAUUCUCGAUUAAAUGUCUUUCACGAUUCGGUAUCAGAGCUUUUACGAUCGUCUCGCAAUACUUGACCACCAUUAGAUAUUCCUUCAUGAUCAUUUCUCUUGUUAAACCGAAUGACACCCGUGAUACUAGUACUAUAGUAAUUAAUCUAUUGAUCAUUUUCAAUAGGUUUAUAUGUUGUUUUUCUUGAAGCUGUACUGCUCCGGUUUUAAAAAGUGUCAGACCUUUACCAAAGAUUGCAAGAAAACCUCAUGGGAUUUCGUUCAGCCAAUAAUAAAACACGUUUUUUGUGUGUGGAAUAAAAGUCUUCUAAAGCAUGCACUAUCGAUGAUAUACUAGUACAUUAAUGUCUCAACCAGAAAUGUGUCUUUAUUAAAGAUUAUAACAUUCUCCUUGUUGACCUAUCUAAUCACUCUCUAAUUACAACAUUCCUAAUUUUAAAUCUUCUUGAUACAAACUAUGAUAGAACUCUAUGGUACACGUGAUUAUGUAUCAAAAGGCUAACUGUACAACAAUAAAUUACCUGCUUAAGAUUCAGUAUUGUUCGGUUUUGAUCACCUUCUGUUGUUGGGUUUAUACCUCAUUGAGUUGGUAUCAUGAACAAAGGCAAUAGUAUUAUACCGGUGUUCCAAAGUCAUAAACCGAUUGUUAGAAAACAAAUCCCGCUUACAGACUAAAACCGAGGGAAACACAUCAACUAUAAAAGGAAAACAAAGGAACAACAGUAGCACUGAAUAAAACAUAAAAUCACAAAAUUACUGAACUCCGAUGAAAAUCAAAAAAAGAAAGUCCCUAAUCAAUUGACAAAAUACAGGCAUUUUCUUAUGUGGAUUGACCAUGGUUUUAAACUAGCUCAACCUCUCACUUGUAUGAAAGUCACAUCAAAUACCAUUAUAUUGAAAACGAAGUGCAACAAAAACAAACGCCAACAGUGUUAGAAACGGACUACCAUAUUCCUAACUUGGUACAGGGAAACUUUAAGAAAAAUGGUAUCAUGUCUUUUUUCUGCAAAACUCGAAAUGUUAUGCUUUUGAUUCCUAUUUUUUAAGACAAAUUUACUAUCAUAACAACCCCUUCCGUUUAAAAAGUUUUGAAUUAUCGUGCAUAUAAGGUUAUCGUUUAAUAUUUUCAAUUGUCUUAGACUUUGUUAACAACAGUUUCUGUUUAUCAUGUAUCUAUGUAAUUAUUGAUAUUGUAUUUACUUAUCCUUACCCUAAUCAGUGUUGAAUUCCAAACAGGAUCCAUUAGAAUCUUUGAGAAAAUAAACCUUUGCAUAUCUAAUACAAACUUAUAGCUUUUCGUUUUUGCAGAGAUGAUUGUCCAAAAAAAAGGGGACGUAAGGGAACGUUAAGUAUCAGACAACAAGUUAUAUAGAGGCAGAAGCCUACCUUAAAAUGAAACACUUUAUCGGCAGAAGUAGUGAUGUGUUUAAUAUACAUACUUCAAAAGGAAGAGGCCGAUUUCUGUUGAGCCGCAACUCUUCUGAAACCAUACAAAGUCGGAAAAAUUGUUAUAUGACGUAAAAGAGUUGUAAAGUAGUAAUGUAGACGGUAUUGAAUCCUUUCUUUUAGGAAACACGUCAAUUAGAUGAUGAUCAAGAUGACUGAAAAAAAUGCCAGAUAUAGAUAAUUCUGAAGAAAAAAACCCAAUUCUAGUCGGAAAAAAUGAAAACAGGCAUGGAAGAUAUAGAAACAAGAAAUAACUAUCAACACAACAGACCAAUACUCAAAACAGCGGUACUAAAUUUUAAUAUACAUAUAUUCAUAUCUCUUCAUGACAAGUUUUAUAGAUUGAACAUAUAUUUCGUUAAGGACUCUUAAAAUGCAGUCCGAAUAUUCUAGUUGUUAAUUCUUAAGUCAGAAAGAAUCCGAGAAUACAAGGACUUCGAUUAUAAUUGAAUUAUAGAAAACACUCCAAGAUUAAUACGACACCCACCAGAAGUCCAUGACCAGGAAGUGACUUUAAAACAUAAACAUUCUAUUCUUGUUUACUGUAGAAGCUUAUUAUAUACCAUAAGCUUGGUAGGAAAUAUUUAAAAAAGUAAAAUCACAAAAAUACUAAUUCCGUAGAAAAUUCAAAACGGAAAGUCUCUAAUCAAAUGGCAAAAUCAAAUGAUAAAACACAUCAAAGGAAUGGACAACAACUGUCAUAUUCCUGACUUGGUACAGGCAUUUUCAAAUGUUAAUUAUAUGCUGAUAAUUUUUAUAUUUUUCAAGUUAAUACAAUUUAUAGAUAAUUUCCAGCACAACAAAUAUAACAAUGAUAAUCUUCUACCAUGUAUGAUUGAACCACAGCUUGAGAAUUGUUUAUUGCAUAUUUGAUCAAGUUAGUAUUGAUAUUAUUUAUAGAUGAUAACACCACACAUGUCUUUAUUAUCAUUUGUUGAUUUAUUGACCAUCAGAUGUUCAACCAAACGUGUGAUGUUGGUGCAAUUAAAAUGCAGUUACAAAUGAAACAAGCAGAAUAAUACUAUGUAUAGUCUCGUUUAGAAUGAGUAAAUCAGAAAAAAAGAGAAUACCAAAUAUUUGGCGCUAACUUAAUGUAGUAAAUGAUUCAUAAUUGUUCUGUUUACUAAAAUUAGCUGGAAGGCUACCAUUUAGAGUGAAUACUGGUAUGUAAGAUUUUCACCAGAUAUCAAUAAAAAUAAAUCCAUUUUAUUGGCGCGUUACGUUACAUGUAUGAUAUUUGCUUAUGAAAAAAAAAAAAAAAAAAAAAAUACGCGAGAUUGUAUCUUUUCAAAUACAAUGCGCUCUCCAAUAAAACAUAUUUUUGAGUAAACUGAAAAUGUCAGCUGUUGCUGCGAAUUUGUAAAACAAGUUUGAAUAUUCAAUAUGUAGACAUAUUGUACAGAUAAGAAACGGUGGUGUUUGGGAGCACGUAACACCCCACAACAUUCUUUGGCUGCACUAAGACAGCCGGCUAUAUGGACCACAUGGUGUAAGUUAUUGUUUUUUUGUGUUAGGUUUUUUCUAUUGUACUUUCCAAAAAAUGUUGGUUAUUCCUGUUGAUCCUGUUACCCCUUUUUUGUAAUUUUAAAAAUUAACUAUCUAAAAGACAGACUGGGGAUUAUAUAUGUUUUGAUUGUAAAACAAAGGGAUAAUACAAAUCGCCAUAACAUAGAUUUUACUUCAUCAAGCCAAUAAAUAAGUUAAGUUAGUAAACUACACUGCACUUGCUUUAUUUCUAGUUUACUAUUUGUCAUGCACUUGACGGUACAACAACACUCAAUUAUAUGAUCCAUUCCCCUGUGGAAC
rnacentral:lncRNA from 1 species